rnacentral:rRNA from 1 species
AGCGAACGCUGGCGGCAGGCCUAAUACAUGCAAGUCGAACGGCUCUUCGGAGCAGUGGCGGACGGGUGAGUAACGCGUGGGAACGUGCCCUUUGGUUCGGAACAACACAGGGAAACUUGGGCUAAUACCGGAUGAGCCCUUUGGGGGAAAGAUUUAUCGCCAUUGGAGCGGCCCGCGUUGGAUCAGCUAGUUGGUGGGGUAAUGGCCCACCAAGGCGACGAUCCAUAGCUGGUCUGAGAGGAUGAUCAGCCACACUGGGACUGAGACACGGCCCAGACUCCUACGGGAGGCAGCAGUAGGGAAUCUUGCGCAAUGGGCGAAAGCCUGACGCAGCCAUGCCGCGUGAAUGAUGAAGGUCUUAGGAUUGUAAAAUUCUUUCACCGGGGAAGAUAAUGACGGUACCCGGAGAAGAAGCCCCGGCUAACUUCGUGCCAGCAGCCGCCGUAAUAC